AUACGGAGGAUGCGAGCGUUAUCCGGAUUUAUUGGGUUUAAAGGGUGCGUAGGCUGUGCGUUAAGUCAGGGGUGAAAUGCCGUGGCUCAACGACGGAGCUGCCCUUGAUACUGGCGUGCUGGAGUACGGAUGCCGUUGGUGGAAUGAGCGGUGUAGCGGGGAAAUGCUUAGAUAUCAGUCAGAACACCGAUUGCGAAGGCAUCUGGCGAAUCCGUCACUGACGCUGAGGCACGAAAGCGUGGGGAUAGAACAGGAUUAGAUACCCUGGUAUUCCACGCCGUAAACGAUGAUGACUAACCGUCGGCGAUAGACAGCCGGUGGCCAAGCGAAAGCGAUAAGUUAUCCACCUGGGGAGUACGGCGGCAACGAUGAAACUCAAAUGAAUUGACGGGG
rnacentral:rRNA from 1 species